rnacentral:rRNA from 1 species
CCCUUAGAUGUUCUGGGCUGCACGCGCGCUACACUGAUGCGUUCAACGAGUUUAUAACCUUGGCCGAUAGGUCUGGGUAAUCUUUGAACGCUGUUCGUGAUUGGGAUAGACCUUUGCAAUUAUGGGUCUUCAACGAGGAAUUCCUAGUAAACGCAAGUCAUCAGCUUGCAUUGAUUACGUCCCUGCCCUUUGUACACACCGCCCGUCGCACCUACCGAUUGAAUGGUCCGGUGAAAUCUCGGGACGGCGGCUUGGUCGCUUGCGUCCGACUGCUGAAACUUGAUUAAACCAUAUCAUUUAGAGGAAGGUGAAGUCGUAACA